rnacentral:sRNA from 1 species
UUUCUUAGUAUUCCUU